GGAUGAGGAUGAGGAUGAGGAUGAGGGUGAGGAUGAGGAUGAGGAUGAGGAUNUCAUCAUCCUCAUCCUCAUCCUCAUUGUCAUCCUCAUCCUCAUCU
rnacentral:pre_miRNA from 1 species